GUUAACUUUGAAACUGCGAAUGGCUCAUUAUAUCAGUUAUAGUUUAUUUGAUGAAGAAUACUAAUUGGAUAACCGUAGUAAUUCUAGAGCUAAUACAUGUAUAAAGUCUUGUAGACUGCAUUUAUUAGAAUGAAAACCAUAGGUUUCGGCCUAUUCGUGAGUAAUAAUAACUAAUCAUAUCGUAUGCUUAUGUAACGAUGUGUCUUUCAAGUUUCUGCCCUAUCAGCUUUCGAUGGUAGUGU
rnacentral:rRNA from 1 species